GGGGAAUAUUGCACAAUGGGGGAAACCCUGAUGCAGCGACGCCGCGUGAGCGAAGAAGUAUUUCGGUAUGUAAAGCUCUAUCAGCAGGGAAGAUAAUGACGGUACCUGACUAAGAAGCCCCGGCUAACUACGUGCCAGCAGCCGCGGUAAUACGUAGGGGGCAAGCGUUAUCCGGAUUUACUGGGUGUAAAGGGAGCGCAGGCGGACCGGCAAGUUGGAAGUGAAAACUAUGGGCUCAACCCAUAAAUUGCUUUCAAAACUGCUGGCCUUGAGUAGUGCAGAGGUAGGUGGAAUUCCCGGUGUAGCGGUGGAAUGCGUAGAUAUCGGGAGGAACACCAGUGGCGAAGGCGACCUACUGGGCACCAACUGACGCUGAGGCUCGAAAGCAUGGGUAGCAAACAGGAUUAGAUACCCUGGUAGUCCAUGCCGUAAACGAUGAUUACUAGGUGUUGGAGGAUUGACCCCUUCAGUGCCGCAGUUAACACAAUAAGUAAUCCACCUGGGGAGUACGACCGCAAGGUUGAAACUCAAAGGAAUUGACGGGGGCCCGCACAAGCAGUGGAGUAUGUGGUUUAAUUCGACGCAACGCGAAGAACCUUACCAAGUCUUGACAUCCCUUGACAGGCAUAGAAAUAUGUUUUCUCUUCGGAGCAAGGAGACAGGUGGUGCAUGGUUGUCGUCAGCUCGUGUCGUGAGAUGUUGGGUUAAGUCCCGCAACGAGCGCAACCCUUAUGGUCAGUUACUACGCAAGAGGACUCUGGCCAGACUGCCGUUGACAAAACGGAGGAAGGUGGGGAUGACGUCAAAUCAUCAUGCCCUUUAUGACUUGGGCUACACACGUACUACAAUGGCGUUAAACAAAGAGAAGCAAGACCGCGAGGUGGAGCAAAACUCAGAAACAACGUCCCAGUUCGGACUGCAGGCUGCAACUCGCCUGCACGAAGUCGGAAUUGCUAGUAAUCGUGGAUCAGCAUGCCACGGUGAAUACGUUCUCG
rnacentral:rRNA from 1 species